rnacentral:rRNA from 1 species
CUACCGGAGGCAGCUGUGGGGAAUAUUGCACAAUGGGCGCAAGCCUGAUGCAGCCAUGCCGCGUGUAUGAAGAAGGCCUUCUGGUUGUAAAGUACUUUCAGCGGGGAGGAAGGGAGUAAAGUUAAUACCUUUGCUCAUUGACGUUACCCGCAGAAGAAGCACCGGCUAACUCCGUGCCAGCGGCCGCGGUAA